CCGAGAUCCUACCUUGCCUCUGAGUGUCAUAGUCUGAGAAGAUGUGGGCUACAGACUCAGAUACUGUAGCUGAGGUACAGGUACAGGUACUCCAGGUCUCCCCUCUCUCCUGCUCUGGAUGUGGGCUACAGACUCAGGUGUCAUCACUGAAGCCUGUGUAGGGGCUCUGGACCCUGGACACCCUCCUUUGGCCAUCCUCUUCCUCACAGAGGGUCUGUGUGAUUCUGGGGCCACAGGCACCAAACAGCUCUGAGGAAGGAGUUGGGAGGCAGGCUGACCUCACAAUGAAUGCUGAGCGAGCUGCAAGCUGGGUUUGUUUUCCUUUCUCGCCUCCCUUCUUCCCUGAUUAAUAAAGUCUAUAGGAAUGGUUUCAA
ensembl:lncRNA novel transcript